AGAUGUCUCAAUGGAUACAUGGAACUUUGUCUAUACUUGCCUGGUGUCCUUAUGGCUGCACAGAUUUUAUGUCUAUUCUGCUAUUGCUUUUGGAAUCAGCAUUUGGAUUGUCAUUCAGUUCACCACCACCAAAACCAAAAAGAAGGUAACCGAACAUGGUGAAAAAUCCAAUGGGAAUCCAGCUUCUUCUGAAGAAACAGAAGACAAACUAGUGAAUGGGUAUGCCACCCUGCAGGCAAAGGAGGUCUAUGUUGCUGGGGUAAAGAUUUUCUAUGGGUCUCAGACUGGCACAGCAAAGAGAUUUGCCAAAGGUCUGGCUGAAGCAGUUAUUGCCCUUAAUUUGCCUGUGGAAGUCAGUAGCUUGGGAGACUAUGAUCCAGAUGAUUGUUUAGCAGAGGAGACAAGCAGCAGGAGCAUUUGUGUGUUCUUGGUAGCUACGUACACAGAUGGACAGCCAACCGAGAGUGCAGCGUGGUUCUGCAAGUGGUUAGAAGAGGCUGCGAAUGACUUCCGCUUUGGCAAGGCGUAUCUGAAAGGCCUGAGAUAUGCUGUGUUUGGCUUGGGAAACUCAGUUUAUGUUGAUCAUUACAACACAGUUGGAAGAAAUAUUGACAGGUGGCUGUGGAUGCUCAGUGCCAGCCGUAUCCUGACUCGUGCUGAAGGGGACUGCAACGUGGCCCAGAGUAAACAUGGCAGCAUUGAGGCAGACUUUGAAGCCUGGAAAGCCAAGUUCCUCAGUCGGCUCCAGGCGCUCUGCAGAGGGGAAAAGAAGCCCUGCAGUGGGAAGUGCAAAAAGGGGAAAUGCAAGUCUCCAGGGAAGCAGAGCAAAGAGAGCUCAGAUCGUGAACAUGGGGCAUCAGAAUAUGAGAAUGCUGAGGCAGAGGAGUUUGAAACCAGUAGCGAGGAGGAGGCUGAUGCUGAGGAAAUUGGAGGCACAAAUUCUGUCAUCGAUGUUGAAGAUCUUGGCAAUAUCAUGAGCUACAUGAAGAAAGCAAAGAGAGAAUGGGAGCACGAGGAAGGCGAUGUUGGAACGAGCUUGACUGGAGAGACCACUGGGUGGAAGGAGGAGGGUGCAAAGAGAGAGAUGAUUACCCCGGCUCUGAGAGAAGCGCUCACAAAACAAGGUUACAGGCUGAUUGGAAGCCACUCUGGGGUGAAACUCUGCCGAUGGACAAAGUCGAUGCUUCGAGGCAGAGGCGGCUGCUACAAACACACAUUUUAUGGAAUUGAGAGCCACCGCUGCAUGGAGGCCACACCGAGCCUGGCUUGUGCAAACAAAUGCGUCUUUUGCUGGAGGCAUCAUACAAAUCCAGUGGGCACAGAGUGGCGAUGGAAGAUGGACCAACCUGAAAUGAUCUUGCAGGAGGCUAUUGAGAACCAUCAGAAUAUGAUCAAGCAGUUCAAAGGUGUGUCGGGAGUAAAAGCUGAUCGCUUUGAGGAAGCGAUGACGGCAAAGCACUGCGCACUCUCGCUGGUGGGAGAGCCCAUCAUGUACCCAGAGAUCAACCGCUUCGUGAGGCUCCUGCACCAGCAUGGCAUCUCCAGUUUCCUGGUUACAAAUGCACAAUUCCCAGAUGAGAUUAGGAACCUUGAGCCCGUAACGCAGCUGUACGUCAGUGUGGAUGCCAGCACCAAAGAGAGCCUGAAGAGAAUUGAUCGACCCCUCUUCAAGGAUUUCUGGCAGAGGUUUCUAGACAGUUUAAAGGCCUUGUCUGAAAAGCAACAGCGCACUGUUUAUAGGCUGACACUGGUGAAAGCUUGGAACGUGGAUGAGCUCAAAGCCUAUGCUGACCUGAUAUCCCUCGGUAAACCAGACUUCAUCGAGGUCAAGGGCGUGACGUACUGUGGUGAAAGCUCGGCCAGCAACCUCACCAUGGCCAACGUUCCCUGGCACGAGGAGGUGGUGCGCUUCGUCCAGGAGCUGGCUGACCAUAUCCCCGACUACGAAAUCGCCUGCGAGCACGAGCACUCGAACUGUCUCCUGAUAGCUCACAAGAAGUGACUCUAGUUCAGCCACUUCCACUGUCGAACAAAGGGAGCCUUAAAUAAUUGUGAGCCUUAAUUAGCUGUCUGUUUGAUGUUGUGCCCAGAGAAGUGGCUGAUGGUGGAGACUGGUGGUAGGGAACCGGUAGCUGAAAGCUGCCACACUGCAAGUCUGGGGUGGUAGCUGAUUCCCAAGCAACACCCCUGAUGUGGCAUCACCCUCUAUUUAGACAUCUCCUGUUUCAGGUACCAGUGGUCUUAAAUGCUUCUAAGCCAAGCGACUGUGCGAAGCAGAGUGGAGUGGGAAGAUGUGAUUUUAUUUUUCAGAAGGGGAAUCAUAAAGGUAAAGACUGGCAAGGCAGCUGUGGCAAGAGUGGAAUGAACCUGUGUGUCCCAGCUUCACCCUUGGCUGUUGCGGUGUUUAAAUUCCUGCAGCCUGCAAGAGCCCAGCUGCACUGUCUAGACAGUUUGUGAGACUUCAGUCUGUCCACGAUAGAAAAUCCAGAUGUGUGCGGUAACCCAGCAAAUGUGUGGAUGUGGUUCACAGUGCGAUUCUCUGCAAGCUUUGUGCUGUUUCUUUAGGGCCAAUCCGCUGCAGCAGACCUGAGCUCUGAAAGUGUCCCCUGGGCUCUGUAAGGGCCCCCUGGGUUCUUUGGUUACAGUGAAACAGUAAGGGGAAAUAAAAGGGAUGAUGAUGGGUGUUAACUCUUGCCCUGCCACGUGGCCGGUUGUGGUCAGCAUAAAAAGUAGCCGGGAUGGAUUUAUUUUUGUGUUUGCAUAUUCACAUAUGCGUAUUCAUGUGUGAAUUCAUGUACACAUAUAUGAACAUUCACAUAUCUCUCUGCAGACUGAUGAAGUUUGCAGUACUUUGAGGCUGCUGAGUUGUUCCAGCUGCUACCAGGGGUUCUAAGGCAAGGAGCAUUUCUACUACAGAUAUUUUUUUUUUUCCUCAAACUAUUCUUAAUAUAAGCCCUGUAGUCUGCUCAUGUGGGAUGAGUGGUCUUCAGUGACCCUGUGGGCUCCUUCGCCCAGAGACACAAGGGCAGGAGGCUGCACGGAUGCUUGCAAACCCCUUUUUGAGCUACAGGACCAUAGAUAUGUAAGCAUGGAAUUAAAAAUAAAUAAAUCUGCUUAAGACCUGUGCACAAAGCUGUGCUUCAUCUCUCCAGAACGAUGCUUUUCCUUAGCAGCCAAAGGAUAUAUUUAAGCUCAGCAAAGAAAGUAUUUGAAGGAAAGCCACUGCAAAACAGACUGAGGAUAUCCUGGCUGCUUCUCCAAAGAUAACUCAAAGAUGAGUUUUCUUCUUGGGAAUAAAUGGAGUGAAGUGGUGGGGGUUGGGUUGUUUUUUUUUAAAAUCCCUUGGUGUGUUUGAACACUCAGGCAGCACAGGGUCUGGAAUAUUUCAGGCUCUGAAUGCAUAACUUCCCAUAAAAAAAAAUGUGCACAAAAUUAUUUUGGUUUUGGUUUUGGGGGUUUUUUUUGGUUUGUUUUGUGUUGGUUUUUGGUUUUUUGUUUUUUUGUUUUUUUUUUCCUUAAAGCAACCCCAUGCCUGCAACAUCCAGUGCAUCUUUGCAGCCCUGGGUCGCCAAAGCCAUGGGCAGCAGCGUCGCUGCUGGCACUUGGGAGCUGGUUUGUGGGUGGCAGCUGGGAGAAGCUGUGGGGACAGGGCUGGAUCCAUCCUCUCCGUGGGGAGGGCAGACAGGGAGCAGGGUACCCGGCAGCACAGCCCCUGUGUGAGCUGUCAGUGUGCUGCUUGGCUGGGAUUUUGUGCUCGGGCAGGGAGAAGACUUAAUCAUUUCUGAAUGUCUAAGAGCCGAGCUUGCAGUUGGGUUUAACUCGUGUUUUGGGAUGGGAAGCAUUGGACCUGCUGGCCUUACAGAAGCUGAGCUGCUGACACUUGCUUUUGCAAAAUGCUCCUUUAAUGUCUCGUGCUUUCUGCAAACCAAAAUAAGCAUCGGCUGAAACAUUUGGCAAAGUCAGGUUUUAAAAUGCUGGAAAUGAUAAAUAGAAAAGCCCUCAGAGGAGCAGCGGGCCCUCCUGCAUGAUGCGACACCAGUUUCUGUGCCUCCCUGCAAUGGAAGCAUGCACCCCUUUCCCUGCUUACCACUGAUUUUAUUUUUUUUUUUUUUUUUGCAUCGUCUUAAAAACUACGCCUGAAACUGCUGCAUUCAACCAUUAAACCCUGUGCAUCUGCCCGGGGAAGAAUCCAUUUGUUGGACUCUGUGCCCUCAAGUAAUUGAAGAGCAGCUGUUGCAAGACCCAAAGCUCUGCUUUCUCUACCCAGUCUUCCCUCUGCUCUUCAGGGAUGCUGCAUUGCAACACAGCUCAUCAGAGAAAGGUUCCCUGUGGGUCCUCUCCCUGUCGGGGAUGGGCUCUGUCCUUCCAACCCAGGGUUUGCUCUGUGAGAACGAGGUCUGCAAGGAGCUGCAGCGGGCUUUGCUCCACUGCUCUGCUGUAUUCUCUUACAUAGCCCAUAGCCCUUUCCUGAAAAUACAUUAAUUUUAAAUUUUUUUUAGUGAAAGACCCGAGUGAGUGGAUGAAGAGGAGCCUCCUCGUUUCAGUGUGUUUUUUCUCUGAAGAAAGUAUGAGAUUAUCCUUGUUAGGACAAACUAAUGGAUUUUUGGUUGACUUCCAUUUUUCAGUGUUAGCGUUUCACGUGCCACCAUCUCUGCUUCUCUCCUAUAUUUUAUCCCUUCACAGAAACCCUGUAUUUAUUUCUGGAAAUUAUGCAUGUCUGGAGGAAGGUAGUAAAUUGUACUACUGUAUUGUCCUCAAUACACACACGCAGUUUUUUACCCCCAAAAAAUUGUUUAUGCAAAUAUGUUGAUAAGAAAAGAAAUCUGUCAUGUGGCUCUUCCCCUUCAUGACUGCUGAUGGGUUGCUGUAGCAAGAAGCUUCUCUCUCUGCAGUUGGAGCGGCUGUAAACCUACUGCAAAAGAUAAUUUGGAGAGAUUUCCCAUUCAUACCCACUCUUGUGAGUUAUAAGAGAAAAAGGAGGUGUUGGCCAUGCUCUGUGGAUGCUCCCAGGUAACUUGGUUCUGCAUUCCCGCCCUGGCUUCUGCUUCUCUUUGCAGUACAUAUGUUAGUGUUGUAUAGGCUGGUUGAGGGAUGGGCCGUGCCCGCGGACGCCACAGCCUCGGGCAGGCAGCUCCGUCCUUUUGCCCUGUGGCUCCCCUGGGCCAGCCGCGCCAUUCCUGGCAGAGCUGUGUAACCCCUUGGCAAACGUCCCCAGUGGGGGCCCAGCGUCACACCACCUUUCUGGGCUCAAAGGCCAUCACCGGUUUCUUCUCAUUGCCUUUGCCUCUCCUUUUCCCCGCCUUGAUGCCUGCUGGGGGCCAUGCUCCUCGCCCGGGCCGUAGGAUCUGCAGAAGUCGGGCAGGUUUUGCAUCACUGUGCACCAGUGCCGUGGCCGUAGGGAGCGGUUGGUGGUGGGAGCUGGGGUCCCUGGGAGCACGGCCUCCAAGGGGAAGGCGUGUGCUGGCUUGGGGAGGGUGAGUUUGCAUUUCCAGACAAACAGCCUGGCUUCAGAGCCAGCUGAAAGAGUUUUGUUACUUUUUUUAUGAUGCUAGCUUUAAAAAAAAAAAAAAGAAAACCAAACAAGGGAAGGGUUUCAGCCAUUUGUCUUUUUUUGAUUUAUUUAUCACCUUAAAAGACUUAACCAGGUAAUGAAAAAUUCAAUAAAAAACCUGACUGCAUUAGUCUGAAAUACCACUGAUGCUUAGCAUUGGCUCGCCUGUUAUAUGGGUGCUGUGAAACUAUUCUGAGUCUUAAAUUGUCUGUUAUCUGUGGAAUAAUCACAAAAUGGUUAAAAUAAAAUCUGUAAAUCUUGCGGGCAAUUGAGGCUGUUCUCCCCCACCCCAUUUUUGUCCAUGUUUUUUAUUCCUCAGCAGAAGUAAUUGCUUCCCAUGACACACUUAAAGGAUUGCUCCCAUUUCUUUGUGGUUUAUAGCUGUGCUAUUGCAGCACUAAAAAUAUUUAAUAUUAUUUAAUCUGCUUUUGUAGUGCAGGCAGCCUUCAUUUGGUUGUUCUGGUGGGAAUGGUAUCGUCACCUCAGUCCGCAGCGUGCGGCUUCCAGCUCUGUUGUGUCGGGAGCUGCACAUUCCAAUGAAGUCAAAUUAAAUAGCUGGAAAAUCUCACUUUGACCUGGCCGAAGUUCAGGGUGCAGAGCAAUGCACGUGGCUUGUGCGAGCCUUCGGGCCAGCCGCUGCCUCGCUCGCUCCCCUGCGCGCCGCCUCCGGUGGCCACUGAAAGCUUUGCUGCCCAGCUCCAGGUGACCGGGACUUUUGGGGGCUGGUGCUGGGAGAUCUUUGAUCAUGUUUCCUUCUGCCACUACCCUCAUCAAAGGUCACUGGCACUGCGGAAGGAGAGCUGAUGGGGGUGAGAUGCAGCCACGGCAUGAUAUGGGGGGAAAAACAUGAGUUUGCUUCUAAAAAGAGAGAAACCAUCUGAUUGUGUCCCAGAAACUCCUGUCAGGCUCUCAUCCCUAUACAAGACAGCUUCUGCCCUCGGCUGGGCAGCGACAGUGUUAUGCCAACACUGAAGCUGCUGGGGAUGAUGAAAGCACUGGUAGUGACGCCAUGGGAUGGUGGUUUUUUGCCCAUCGUUGCCAGUUAAACCGGUUGUGAGUGCAGCUGCAUCACUACUGACUGGCUUGAGACAGCGAUGGUCUGAGCAGGGCUUUUUCUGGAAAUAGCCCAGAAACAGUUCUCAGUAUCUCCGGCGGGUGAUAGUACGCUGGUUUUGUGUGGUUUCUAGCUUGAAGAUACUGGAGAGGCAGAAUCAGACCAGUGUUUGGGUUGGGGGGUGUGGCUGCAGUCCAUACCCUCAUUUCUACUGGUCAGGGUGGCACUGGUAUCUCCUGUGGUUUCGGGGCUCUUGCUGAGCUGCUCUUGGCUACAGGGUUAAUGGCUCGUUGCAAGCUCCCCCUUCCCUCCAGAGAUGAGCUGGUUUUCAGGGAAAUGGGCUUUACCCAUCGCCUAUUCAGCUGAGUUCAAGCCUUGGCAAUGGUUUUGUUCUUUCUGUGCUAGGUUUCUCUUAGAUGCCCUCAAGGCUCUCUAGGGACCUGCCUGACGUGGUAGGAGCGCUCCAUACCCAUUGUGGGAAUAAGCUCAACAGCUUGUGUGCUGAACAACUCUCCCAUGUGCUGUGUGUGUGAAAGGCUUUGCUGGAUCCUGGGGGCUGGGAGGGGUGGGGUUUGCCCUUAAUUUGUGUGAGAAUUUGCUGAGCGUUGGUGAAUCAAAUCUGGGGGGACUGGGGAGUUUUCCACAUGGUGUGGACUCGUCACAUAGCACCUCCACGCUCACCGGGAGCGAAGUUCAGGUCUCCUGAGCCUGGAUCCUCUUUGAGACCUGCUGCUUUCCAGGCGAGACGUCAUUUCCUCUGCUCUUGCUUUACUUGCGGCCAUGCACACUGGAAAGGCCAUGUCACCGUGGUGAAACGUGGCCUCCCCCUUAGCGUAUGAAGAACGAGCACUGGGUGAGUUUAUUUACGGCGCGACUUGUUCCCCGCUGCUCUGGCUCUGCAGCCUCAUGUCUCCGCUCCGUGCAGAAGAUGACUCCUGCAAGAAUUCUCUGUAAUUACGCAGGCAGCAAUAGAUUAGCAUUAGCAAGGUUUGAUUGCAAAAUUUUGCAGGUAUCAGCAGUUUUUCCAACCAAAAAAGCUUUUAGCUCUUGGGCAGAAAGUCAAGUGCCAUUUUCAAUGUGUAGCCAUCAGGGUUUUUUUUUUUAAAAAAAAAAAAAAAAAUCCAAAACAAAACAGGGACUCAGUCUGUUUUCUUUUUUUUUUUUUUCCUUUUUUUUGUGGAUGAAAUGCAUAAUAAGCUCUUAGCCCAGAUAAAUCCUAGUUGAGGAUUCAGUCAGGGCUGUUGCUAAAUUAGCAAAGCAGGUCUGCUAGACAAAUGCAGCUUCAGCUUGUCAAAAUAAGUAAUUUUUACAAUUUUCACACGGAAAGAGGAUUCAUGUCAUUAAACCUUUUUAUCCUCCCCCAUUCCCAAACACAGCUCUCUUGCCCCUUUCAAGUAUCACCCAAAUCCAUCCCAAGUACCACAGCACACGGAUCUGGUGUUGGUCCCAUAGUAUUUUGCCAAGCUGUGGCUGCCUGGGAGUCAGUGUCACAGGCUCCCAACAGGGGCUUUGGUUGCCCUUGGAAAGGUCCCUUCAUCCAGGGGUACCUGGGCAUUGCUCGCACAUGCACAUGUUUCUUCCAGGGCUCUUCCAUUUCCCCAAACCAAGGUCUUUCAGGUACAGGUGACACCUGGGAAGUGCAGACUCUCCUGGGAUGGCUUUGGGAUGCACCAUGGAAGCAUCCCGUUCCUCCUGGCAAAGCGGGGCUGAAGUGCUGGUAGGGACUGGCAAAGCACCCAGCGGUCAAACCCUGGUGGAGAUUAUCUGCUGGUAGGCAGCACUAGAUGACUGAAGUUGUAAGGAAUACGGCCAUCCUGUAUCUGUGUGUGUUGUCAAACCCCUGGAUGAAAGGUGGCUCAGAAACAUUCCGGAUUGAUGGCGAGUGGUGCACCUGGAUCAACUACGACCGCUUCCAGGAGCUGGUGCAAGAGCAGGAGAGGAGCGGCGG